rnacentral:lncRNA from 1 species
CGAUUGCGUUUUUUUAGGGAUCUUUUUGUCAAACAAAAUUGUAUCGGGAUGUGAUUUGGCUUUUUUAUUUGCCACGUCACCCUGUCCAGCGGGACCCAGCUGUCAUAAUCAUGCUCAAAAUGGCCUAAGCCGUCGACUAGUGUUUUUUGCAAAAAAUUAGCCUCGGAAUUAGUGGUUUUUGGCACAAAACUGUAAAAGUGUAAUUUUUGCAAACCUCGUCUUCAAUGUCGAUGUUUUCUGCAAUUCACUCCGGGAGCUCGACGUGCAGCUUGGGUUGAAGGAGGUGGCUUAAUUACUACUGUUCCGUUUCCAUUUUCAUCUUGGAACUGAGCGAUGCAGGUCACGUGUUUGAUCUGAUGGUGCAACUGCAGGGCAAAGAGAUCCUCAAGGCCGUGAUGCUGCAGUCCAAGACCGUGCUCACCGACGUUUUCCGAGUAGCCGUACGCGACCUCAGCUCGUUCCCCGAAUUCACAUUCGCUGAUUGGCUUCCUGCAUUACAAG